rnacentral:rRNA from 1 species
UACGAAGGGGGCUAGCGUUGUUCGGAAUUACUGGGCGUAAAGCGCGCGCAGGCGGCUAUCCAAGUCAGUGGUGAAAGCCCGGAGCUCAACUCCGGAACUGCCAUUGAAACUGUUUAGCUUGAGUAUGAGAGAGGUGAGUGGAAUUCCCAGUGUAGAGGUAAAAUUCGUAGAUAUUGGGAAGAACACCGGUGGCGAAGGCGGCUCACUGGCUCAUUACUGACGCUCAGGCGCGACAGCGUGGGGAUCAAACAGG